UGAGGAAUAUUGGUCAAUGGGCGGGAGCCUGAACCAGCCAAGUAGCGUGCGGGAUGAAGGCCCUCCGGGUCGUAAACCGCUUUUAGACGGGGAUAAAAGGGCGUACGUGUACGCCGUAUUGCAUGUACCGUCAGAAAAAGGGACCGGCUAAUUCCGUGCCAGCAGCCGCGGUAAUACGGAAGGUCCGGGCGUUAUCCGGAUUUAUUGGGGUUUAAAGGGAGCGUAGGCGGACUUUCAAGUCAGUGGUAAAAUCGUGUGGCUCAACCAUACCUCGCCAUUGAAACUGGAAGUCUGGAGUGCACACAGGGGUGCCGGAAUUCAUGGUGUAGCGGUGAAAUGCUUAGAUAUCAUGAAGAACUCCGAUCGCGAAGGCAAGUGCCCGGGGUGCAACUGACGCUGAGGCUCGAAGGUGCGGGUAUCGAACAGGAUUAGAUACC
rnacentral:rRNA from 1 species